GAGAGUUUGUAACACCCGAAGUCGGUAGGGUAACCUUUAUGGAGCCAGCCGCCGAAGGUGGGACAGAUAAUUGGGGUGAAGUCGUAACAAGGUAGCCGUAUCGGAAGGUGCGGCUGGAUCACCUCCUUU
rnacentral:ncRNA from 2 species